CACUUAUUUGUUUUUGCAAACCAAUAAAAUCUUUUUUUACCAAUAAAAUCUUAAUAAUUAUUAUGCUUCUCUUCAGUGACCACUCAUUCAGCUGAACAAUGCUGUACCUUCCUAGCAAGCAUUACCUUAAACAUCUAAGAUCAGUCUCUUUUCUCCCCCCUUUAAUUCAUCUUUCAUUUUUGUGCUCAUUCAUUCAUCUCCCAUCAUUCAUCUCUGGGAGUGACAGGUGCUAAGCAGCAUGACCCUUUUCCAUUUUCUGAUCCUUUCCCAUUCCUUUAAUUCUAAGUGAGAAUAAGUUCAUUCUUCCUAUAUGGUUUCUAGGUUUGGUAACACCUUGGUAUUUCACUACAGAAGUAGGGAGUUACCUGGAAACAAAACCAUUCAUUUUUGCAAAGAGCAAUCGCAAGACUUUCUCCUUUUGCUCCCAGGUCAAAUCUUCAAUAUCCACAUUUCCUUGAAUAUCCGUCCUGAAGAAUUUCAAAGGCAAAAUGGCCAAAAAAAGAAAAUAAAGGAACAUGUUCAAAGAUACUACAAUGACAUUCUAUGGAACAAAUGAUCUAGUCUCUUUAAUAAGUCUCUGUCUUGAAAAAAGGAAAUCUACUAAGAAUACCUACUAAGCCCCACACACAGUGCUAAGCACAGGGGUUAUAAAGACAGGAAGGCAGGAAGCCCAAUUGAAAAUUCCCAGUCUCCCUUGCAGUUCAGCAAAGCUAUGUAACUAAGUUCUGGUCAAUGAAAUGUAAGUAGAAGUGUUUGCAGGACUUCCAGGAAGACUUCUAAAGGGGAGGGGGGGCAUAAUUUUUCCUUCCUGUCCUUCUUCCUUCCUGCUUUCUGGGUAAUGGUUAGAGAUCUAGCAGCUGCUUUGGGCCAUGAAGUAACUUUGGGGAUGUAAGCCAUACGUUGCCCAGCAGAGUUAAGGAAACUGAGUCUCUGUUGACUUUGUGGCACUACCCUUCCAGCUCUGGAUUGCUAACCUCCAGACUUCAUUUAGAGGAGAGAAUAAACCCUUACAUGGUAAAGCCACUGUUGUCGGGGCUGUUACAGCUGAACUUAUUCCGAACCAGUAAUUCAGAGACCAACUCUAAGCAAAAUAAAAUGAGUAUUCUAAGGUAGUAGAGGAUAGGUUUACAUUUAUGUUUCUGAUAUAUCCUUUAUAAAGUCAAGUCAAAUACUUCUUUUUUUAUGUUUAUUUAUUUAUUUAUUUUUGAGAGAGAUAGAGAGAGAGCACAUGCUCAGGGAGGGGCAGAGAGAGAGAGAGAGGAAGGCAGAGAAUCCCAAGCAGGCUCCUGAUGUGGGGCUUGAACCCACAAACUGUGAGAUCAUGACCUGAGCAGAAAUCAGGAGUUGGACUCUUUAACUGACUGAGCCACUGAGGCAUCCCAAGUCAAAUACUUCUUAUGUCAUUCUCAUAACUAAUCCUUUCAAAUAAGAAAGGUACAUCAUCCAGACAAAAUAAAAAUGGUCCCAAAGUCCUCAUGUAUCAUUAUUACACUCAAUUCUUCAUAUUUACCAACCCAAUCCUUAAAUAAACAAACGAGCAGACAAACAAAAAACCCAGAAAGUCCAAAUGGAGUGGGAACC